rnacentral:rRNA from 1 species
CAGGACGAACGCUGGCGGCGUGCCUAAUACAUGCAAGUCGAGCGAACCACUUCGGUGGUUAGCGGCGGACGGGUGAGUAACACGUGGGCAACCUGCCUGUAAGACUGGGAUAACUUCGGGAAACCGGAGCUAAUACCGGAUAAUCCUUUUCCUCUCAUGAGGAAAAGCUGAAAGACGGUUUCGGCUGUCACUUACAGAUGGGCCCGCGGCGCAUUAGCUAGUUGGUGAGGUAACGGCUCACCAAGGCGACGAUGCGUAGCCGACCUGAGAGGGUGAUCGGCCACACUGGGACUGAGACACGGCCCAGACUCCUACGGGAGGCAGCAGUAGGGAAUCUUCCACAAUGGACGAAAGUCUGAUGGAGCAACGCCGCGUGAGCGAUGAAGGCCUUCGGGUCGUAAAGCUCUGUUGUUAGGGAAGAACAAG